UGUACCCUACAACCACCUAUUGACUGCCAACCAAAUUUUUUGUAUGACCACAAAUUUAUCCAGAGAAGCAAUAACAGAAAAUACACAUCACGUUUUUGUUGUCUGCCAAAUUUUGGGCUUCUGUUUUUUCAUUUUUUAUUUUUUAAUUUCUUUCUUUUAAGUCCCUCUAACUUCUUUGGUUUAGCAUAGCCCAUAACCCCAUCAAUUUCUCUCUUCCACUACUAGCUCGCUGUCUCUCUAUACAAAAAAGAAAGUAUCAGGGAGAUUCAAGAAUUGCAGGCUUCGGUUACUAAGCAAAAGUUGAGCAGCUUGGUGUAUAAUUUGAAGAUUCAUGAAAAUCCUGAACCAAAUGGAUCGUCUACCUGCUUUUACUUUCAGUUCUUUUAGAGACAAAGAUAAGCAUAAUUGAGAAAAAGGUCAUGAGCCCAGCUUAGUAUACUUGAUCACAGUUUGUUUUUGAAGAAGAAACUUUAAGAGAAAUGGAUAUGGAACCCAGCUUAUCCAUCUUCAUGUUUUGGUUUCCACUACUGGUUUUCCAUCAACGAAUUAUAUAUAUAUAUAUAUAUAUAUUUUUUUUUUUUCUGCUGUAAUAUGUAAUUCUCUGUAUUUCCUUCAUGUAUGUAUACCCUUUUUUUUUCCGCCUUUUUUGUUUUGGUAAUAUCAAGUUAUGUAUAUGUUAUAUAUAUACUAGUAUGACACUUUAUUUUCUUAA